UGGGGAAUAUUGGACAAUGGGGGCAACCCUGAUCCAGCAAUGCCGCGUGUGUGAAGAAGGCCUGCGGGUUGUAAAGCACUUUCAGUGGGGAGGAAUGUGUAAUUUGUUAAUAGUAGAUUAUAUUGACGUUACCCAAAGAAGAAGCACCGGCUAACUCUGUGCCAGCAGCCGCGGUAAUACAGAGGGUGCGAGCGUUAAUCGGAAUUACUGGGCGUAAAGGGUGCGUAGGUGGCGACAUAAGUCAGGUGUGAAAUCCCCGAGCUUAACUUGGGAAUUGCGCUUGAGACUGUAUUGCUAGAGUGUUGUAGAGGAAAGUGGAAUUUCCGGUGUAGCGGUGAAAUGCGUAGAUAUCGGAAGGAACACCAGUGGCGAAGGCGGCUUUCUGGACAGACACUGACACUGAGGCACGAAAGCGUGGGUAGCAAACAGG
rnacentral:rRNA from 1 species